rnacentral:rRNA from 1 species
AUGGCCGUUGUCUUCUCUUCCCGCACAGGGCAAUGGCGAGCCCUGACUCGGAGCGUGUCGUUGCCUCUACCGGAUUUCACAUGGAUGGUUCACUUCAGGUCGCGCCAUUACGCCCAUGGCUGCUUCUACUGGAUUUCAGGUGAAAAAUUGUUGGUGCUUGACAUUCAGAGGAUGGAGUUCUCCAUGGCUGACCACCCACCUUGUGCCAGAGCUCCGAGCGAUGAUGUGGCCAUCGCGGAGGCAGGCCAAGGCACGAUUCGGAUGUUUGUGCCUACACCCAACACAGCUCGCCGUAGUUUUACGGUUUGGCGAAACAAUGGUGGGAGUUCCUCCCAGUGGCAGUGGCAGAUGGAGAAUGAGACAAUCUCGCUGCCUUCUGGGUCCUUGCUCAUGGGUGCAGUGGGGAGGCACUUGCUCCUAUAUCAUGUCGGAAGCUCGUCGAUCAGGCGAGGUUGUUACACGCGGGGCGUCGACACAUUUCAGUUUGAGAGGGUGUGUGGUUCUGCUUCAUUGCCCAAACCGUCUCAUGUAUAUUGCAACUUUCCACCGUCGUUAUUAUCGUCACCGACAGUGUCAAGUGCCACACCCCACGCUGACGUCCGAGGAGAGGGGGGAGCUGUGCAGGUGCCUGAACCACAAGAAGUCGAUGCUGGAGGCAUGGAAGGGUCCGUCCUCUCAGUGGCUGCCGAAGCUCCAAACCCCUUGUUCGUCGUUGAUGACGAAGCAGAGGCCGGUUGUGGUGGGCGAGGAGGAGGCGCUGGGGCCGGUGCAGGGGCUGGACCUCCGGAGGGUGCAGGGGCGGGUGGCAUAGCUUGA